rnacentral:rRNA from 1 species
AGUGAACGCUGGCGGUAGGCCUAACACAUGCAAGUCGAACGGCAGCACAGGAGAGCUUGCUCUCUGGGUGGCGAGUGGCGGACGGGUGAGGAAUACAUCGGAAUCUACUUUUUCGUGGGGGAUAACGUAGGGAAACUUACGCUAAUACCGCAUACGACCUACGGGUGAAAGCAGGGGAUCUUCGGACCUUGCGCGAUUGAAUGAGCCGAUGUCGGAUUAGCUAGUUGGCGGGGUAAAGGCCCACCAAGGCGACGAUCCGUAGCUGGUCUGAGAGGAUUAUCAGCCACACUGGAAUUGAGACACGGUCCAGACUCCUGCGGGAGGCAGCAGUGGGGAAUAUUGGACAAUGGGCGCAAGCCUGAUCCAGCCAUACCGCGUGGGUGAAGAAGGCCUUCGGGUUGUAAAGCCCUUUUGUUGGGAAAGAAAUCCAGCUGGUUAAUACCCGGUUGGGAUGACGGUACCCAAAGAAUAAGCACCGGCUAACUUCGUGCCAGCCGCCGCCGUAA